UCCUAUAGUCAGGAAUCGGCAAAAACAAACUGAUCCCGCGUGGCAAAUUGUUAUCUUUCGGCAUUGUUCUUGAACGAGUCUUAAGACGUGAUUCUUCUAGAUUUUCGAGAUUCAUUAUGUCUAUCAAAGUUUCGUGCAAAUCAAAGGCUGUAGUUAAGCUCCGCGUAUUUCUUCGUAAAUUUGUCCAAGCCACUCGAUACUUUUCUCUCCACCAACGGGGCAAUACGAGAAACACGAAAGGAAGACUGUCCUCCAUUCUACCUUGAACGGGCGCCAACAGCAAUCGAUCUCCUCCGAAUUAUUGUAAAAAUGGUUGAUCGCGUCUGGAUUUACGUGCAAUGCAGUGUCGUUUGAAUCGACCAAUGGUAAAUGAUUUCCGUGCUCGCAGACAAGUGGUUUCUCCCUUUGAAUGUAUUGUACGAUCGCCGAGUCGAAAGGAUCCAUAUCUGGGAUUCGGCAACCUUUGUUGCGGACCAGGAAACCAGAGUUGGUUAUAGAAGCCAAGAAAGGUUUCAAUUCUACAUAAUUUUCUGAAAAUAAAGGAAAAAGGCAUUGAUCAAGUAUUUGACUGUUAUUCAAGUUUAUCGAUAUUUAAAAAUAAUUUUUUUUUUUAACUCGCUGUUAAGCGUUCGAAACAGAAUUUUCCAAUAUUUCUGUUCCAUCCAAUAAUUUGCAAAACACGAAAUGUUCGUUCAAAAUAUUUAAAUACAUAUGAACUUUUAUAGAGGAAUUAUUUUAUUUUUUCUUUUUUUUUUUUUUUUUUUUAAAUACCUUGUGAACUAUCAUUGACCCCAAUGGCUCCGUAUCGUAUCACUCGAAAUUGAUCCGUGUUGAAUGUAUUAAUCACAAUUAGCGAGA